UCCCUGGUGGCUGAGAGGGUAAAGCGUCUGCCUGCAAUGCAGGAGAUCCAGGUUUGAUCCCUGGGUCGGGAA
rnacentral:tRNA from 1 species